rnacentral:rRNA from 1 species
UACGAAGGGGGCUAGCGUUGCUCGGAAUCACUGGGCGUAAAGGGUGCGUAGGCGGGUUUUUAAGUCAGGGGUGAAAUCCUGGAGCUCAACUCCAGAACUGCCUUUGAUACUGAAGAUCUUGAGUCCGGGAGAGGUGAGUGGAACUGCGAGUGUAGAGGUGAAAUUCGUAGAUAUUCGCAAGAACACCAGUGGCGAAGGCGGCUCACUGGCCCGGUACUGACGCUGAGGCACGGAAAGCGAUGGG